AGACGAUCGCGUUAAUUGUCGUUACACUCGUGGCCCGCGAUACGCCGGGACAAUCGGCUCGAACACUAUUGUACCGGUAUUAGCUAGCACAGGUACUUUUUAUUCCGCCUCUUUGUUUUCGACCGGUUACGAGACCGUUAUAAUACCGAUGUACGUGUUACCGUACUCAUUGCCACUUAUCCAUCUACACCCCCGUCGGCAUUUCGCUUCCGUUGACUGUUCGCGGCUCCGCCGUGCAGUGGCGUAGUGUAGAGGAGGUCAGGGUGUCCUCUCUCCGUAUUUAUUUGACUUUUUUUUUUUUUAGAAUGCGUGUUGAUAAAAUCAUUUUUUUUUUCAUUUUUUCGACGGGGACGGGGGUCGAAAUUCUCUUUAUCUACGCACAUUUAUCGAGCGAAAAAGUAUUUAUCGCCCUCCCAAUUUAAAAUCUCGGCUACGCCACUGACACCGCAUCGUCGCGUCUUCAAACCGCGCUCCUACCGGUUAUACCGCGUUAACCGCGGUCCUCCCGGGGGCGCUCUUCCGAACAGGCGAUUCGAUUUGUUUUUUCUAAUCUCCUUUUGCUGUAACAUAUCU